AUCGAACGCUGGCGGCAGGCCUAACACAUGCAAGUCGAACGAGUGGCGGACGUGUGAGUAAUGUCUGGGAAACUGCCCUAUGGAGGGGGCUAACUACUGGAAACGGUAGCUAAUACCGCAUACCAUCGGAUGUUCCCAGAGGGGAUUAGCCAGUAGGUGGGGUAACGGCUCACCUAGGCCACGAUCCCUAGCUGGUCUGAGAGGGUGACCGGCCAAACUGGAACUGAGACACGGUCCAGACUACGACGGGAGGCAGCAGUGGGGAAUAUUGCGCAAUGGGCGCAAGCCGGAUGCAGCCAUGCCGCGUGUAUGAAGAAGGCCUUCGGGUUGUAAAGUACUUUGAGCGGGGAGGCGUUACUCGCAGAAGAAGCAACGGCUAACUCCGUGCCAGCAGCCGCGGUAAUAC
rnacentral:rRNA from 1 species